rnacentral:rRNA from 1 species
CUACGGGAGGCAGCAGUAGGGAAUCUUCCGCAAUGGACGAAAGUCUGACGGAGCAACGCCGCGUGAGUGAUGAAGGCUUUCGGGUCGUAAAACUCUGUUGUUAGGGAAGAACAAGUACGAGAGUAACUGCUCGUACCUUGACGGUACCUAACCAGAAAGCCACGGCUAACUACGUGCCAGCAGCCGCGGUAAUACGUAGGUGGCAAGCGUUAUCCGGAAUUAUUGGGCGUAAAGCGCGCGCAGGCGGUUUCUUAAGUCUGAUGUGAAAGCCCACGGCUCAACCGUGGAGGGUCAUUGGAAACUGGGGAACUUGAGUGCAGAAGAGAAAAGCGGAAUUCCACGUGUAGCGGUGAAAUGCGUAGAGAUGUGGAGGAACACCAGUGGCGAAGGCGGCUUUUUGGUCUGUAACUGACGCUGAGGCGCGAAAGCGUGGGGAGCAAACAGGAUUAGAUACCCCGGUAG